UACGUAGGGUGCAAGCGUUGUCCGGAAUUAUUGGGCGUAAAGAGCUCGUAGGCGGUCUGUCGCGUCGGCUGUGAAAACCUGGGGCUCAACUCCGGGCCUGCAGCCGAUACGGGCAGACUAGAAUUCGGUAGGGGAGACUGGAAUUCCUGGUGUAGCGGUGAAAUGCGCAGAUAUCAGGGGGAACACCGGUGGCGAAGGCGGGUCUCUGGGCCGAUAUUGACGCUGAGGAGCGAAAGCGUGGGGAGCGAACAGG
rnacentral:rRNA from 1 species